UACCAGGUCUUGACAUCCUCUGACAACCCUAGAGAUAGGGCGUUCCCCUUCGGGGGACAGAGUGACAGGUGGUGCAUGGUUGUCGUCAGCUCGUGUCGUGAGGUGUUGGGUUAAGUCCCGCAACGAGCGCAACCCUUGAUCUUAGUUGCCAGCAUUAAGUUGGGCACUCUAAGGUGACUGCCGGUGACAAACCGGAGGAAGGUGGGGAUGACGUCAAAUCAUCAUGCCCCUUAUGACCUGGGCUACACACGUGCUACAAUGGAUGGUACAAAGAGCUGCAAACCCGCGAGGGUAAGCGAAUCUCAUAAAGCCAUUCUCAGUUCGGAUUGUAGGCUGCAACUCGCCUACAUGAAGCCGGAAUCGCUAGUAAUCGCGGAUCAGCAUGCCGCGGUGAAUACGUUCCCGGGCCUUGUACACACCGCCCGUCACACCACGAGAGUUUGUAACACCCGAAGUCGGUGAGGUAACCGCAAGGAGCCAGCCGCCUAAGGUGGGAUAGAUGAUUGGGGUGAAGUCGUAACAAGGUAGCC
rnacentral:rRNA from 1 species